rnacentral:rRNA from 1 species
CCGUAAUGGUACGCGGAGGACAUUACCGAGUUUACAACUCCCAAACCCCUGUGAACAUACCUUAAUGUUGCCUCGGCGGAUCAGCCCGCGCCCGGUAAAACGGGACGGCCCGCCAGAGGAUCCAAACUCUUGCUGUUAUUGUAACUUCUGAGUAAAACAAACAAAUAAAUCAAAACUUUCAACAACGGAUCUCUUGGUUCUGGCAUCGAUGAAGAACGCAGCAAAAUGCGAUAAGUAAUGUGAAUUGCAGAAUUCAGUGAAUCAUCGAAUCUUUGAACGCACAUUGCGCCCGCCAGUAUUCUGGCGGGCAUGCCUGUUCGAGCGUCAUUUCAACCCUCAAGCCCCCGGGUUUGGUGUUGGGGAUCGGCAAGCCUUCUGGCGAGCCGCCCCCUAAAUCUAGUGGCGGUCUCACUGCAGCCUCCAUUGCGUAGUAGCUAACACCUCGCAACUGGAACGCGGUGCGGCCAUUGCCGUUAAACCCCCAACUUCUGAAUGUUGACCUCGGAUCAGGUAGGAAUACCCGCUGAACUUAAGCAUAUCAA